GACGAACCGUCCGAACGUUAUUCGGAAUUACUGGGCUUAAAGGGUGCGUAGGCGGUGCUACAAGUCGGGUGUGAAAUCCCUCAGCUUAACUGAGGAACUGCGCCCGAAACUGUAGUGCUGGAGUGAGGCAGGGGUGAGCGGAACUGAUGGUGGAGCGGUGAAAUGUGUUGAUAUCAUCAGGAACACCGGUGGCGAAGGCGGCUCACUGGGCCUUUACUGACGCUGAGGCACGAAAGCUAGGGGAGCAAAC
rnacentral:rRNA from 1 species